UCUUUUUCCUCAUCCUCAUGAGCCCUGUCCAAUGCCUGUACCCUACUAAGUGCAGUAAUCCAGGAAGGCAAGGGAGACUGGCAGCUCCAUGCCUCAGCCAUGCCCAGCAAGGCCCCCUUCUGUGUGGAGGCAUGAGAGUACCCAGGUGGAACGGAGGGGUGCCCUACAGGACACACAGGUACAGGCUAGAGGAAGGGGCUGCUGGCUCAUACAAUCUGCAGGUUUUCCACAUGCAGGCCAGGAGAGAGCACCCGCUGUGUGGAGCGGUGCAAGCACCCAUGCUUCUGUUGGUCCAACAGUGCUAACAGUGAACCCCAAGGCCCCCAGACAAGCUGAGCUCCAGACACGUUCCACUGGCAGAUGGCUCUGUUAGCUGAGGUCUGUGCUCCACCCUCUCUGCUUCACCUGCAACCUCCUCCAACCCUCAGGAACAGACAGCCUCAGAGGUUCAAGGGUAUUCAGAGGCACAGGGGCAAGGGUGUUGGGUGUUUUGUCCCAGCAACAAGAAAAAAGUAACCAAGACACUGAGACACAGUACUGACCCCCACAGUUUAAGGAAGGAAAUAUUUCAUUGGGAGCUCACGUUCUGAGGACUCAGUCCAUGACUCGCUGGCUCACAAAACCAUCAUGACAAAGGGGUGCGACAGAGCAAAGGUGCUGGUUUCAAGGUGACUGGGAAGCAGAGCUGCGGAAAAUCACAACAGAAGACAGGACCGGGACCACAGACCCCUAGACCCACUCAUCAGGAUCUACCCAGAUAUACCCAGAGGUGUGUUCCUCCUUCUGGUAACCCCUUCCGUGAGAUCACCUAAGCAACCAAGUUCCCAUCCUACCAUCAGUGUCACAGUAGCUGAGGGAGAGGAUUGAAAGUUCAUGCCUAGCCUUGCAAUUUAGUGACUUCCUGAGACCCUGUCUCACAAUCAAGAAUUUAAAAUGGGCUGCAGAUGUGGCCCCUUGUGAAAUCCUUGGGGUAACUGGAAAUAAAGAGCAAAGAAGCAAGAUUAAA